rnacentral:ncRNA from 1 species
GCAUACGCAAAUGGGGGGACUUGGUCUGAGAUUAUACCGUUGAAACUUGAUCUGGAUAAUUCCAGCGCGAAGGACUUGUGCUGCUUCAUGAU